AUUGAACGCUGGCGGCAGGCCUAACACAUGCAAGUCGAGCGGAUGAGAGGAGCUUGCUUCUCGAUUCAGCGGCGGACGGGUGAGUAAUGCCUAGGAAUCUGCCUGGUAGUGGGGGACAACGUUUUGAAAGGAACGCUAAUACCGCAUACGUCCUACGGGAGAAAGCAGGGGACCUUCGGGCCUUGCGCUAUCAGAUGAGCCUAGGUCGGAUUAGCUAGUUGGUGAGGUAAUGGCUCACCAAGGCGACGAUCCGUAACUGGUCUGAGAGGAUGAUCAGUCACACUGGAACUGAGACACGGUCCAGACUCCUACGGGAGGCAGCAGUGGGGAAUAUUGGACAAUGGGCGAAAGCCUGAUCCAGCCAUGCCGCGUGUGUGAAGAAGGUCUUCGGAUUGUAAAGCGCUUUAAGUUGGGAGGAAGGGUUGUAGAUUAAUACUCUGCAAUUUUGACGUUACCGACAGAAUAAGCACCGGCUAACUCUGUGCCAGCCGCCGCAGUAAAAC
rnacentral:rRNA from 1 species